UUUGGCUAAGCCUCCCAGACCCCUCUUUCCCCCACCCCAUCUUAUCUCUUUCCCACGCCACACAUCAACCUAAACCUAGGUCGCCUGCCGCCGCCGCCGUCCCCUGACCUGCCUGUCGAUUUGCUCGUGCCGCCUCCUGUCCCAUCAACGGCGGCACCUCCCGAAGCCUCCUUCUACCAUGUGGUGCUUCCCCACGGUCCAAUCCCAAGGUUAUGCCUCAUCGUCCGCAGCAAAGGAGCCCCUCCACUGCCCGCAGCCAAGGAGUCGAGUCGACCGCCACCAAGGAUCCGCGUUGCCAACCGCCAGCGUGGAGUCGACCAUCGCCGAACAACCCCGCCGUACUUCCUCAAGAUCCAGGGCGCUGUAGGGUGAUGCUGUCUGCAACCAAGGAGCCACCUAGCCCUCUACAUCAAGAAGUUCUCCUUCCCUUUGUCUUGCUUCGCCCCCAAAUCCAGCCCCUGUAGGCUGCAAGGAUCCCCAACCAUGCUGAGUGGUAAUGCUUGAGGCUAGUAAAGUAUCAUUGUGCACUUCUGGAACAACUAUCAUAGAAGUAUGGAACUAAUGCUAGCAAAACUACCCGGUGUAGUCACCAGAGGAAAAAGAUGAACUUUAUUUUCCAAUGUGGCUACAUAAAGAUCUAGCCAUAAAGAUAAGGUAAUUUGUUUCUAAUCUAAUACACCUUAUAUGUUAAGUGGUACAAAGGGAGCUACUAUAUAUGCAAAUAUUCUCAGUUGGAACAUAAUUGUUCAGUUGAGCUACUGAACUUGCUGAUAGGAAAACAUGCUAAGGUUAACAACUUGAAAAUUUUCUAGUUAACUAAAUAAGAUAUUCUGGCAGUUUAAAAGUUGUUUCAACCAGACCACAUCCUCUUUGUGUAAAUCCUACUAUAUUCUCUAGUUACACUAAGAACAGAAGUAUGUACACAAGUACUAGUAUGUUUAGCCACUACAACAUUAUGGCCAUAGUGGGUAGAUUAGGAUGCAACAUCUGUUUGUAUCCGUUGGUAUGUCAAUUUUGCUGCUUGCUAGGAGAUGUUCAUCUCCAGUGUUGAUUGCAAUUUCAUAUGGCAGUUAAAUCACCUCGUAAUAGUUAUGGUGUAGUAAGAUUUGGGUUAAAUAUCGGUUUCAUACACGCUGAAUUUUGAGUUAGUCUCCAGAUAGAAGUUGUAGUGUACUUCUGAAGCUUUCCAGAGAGUAUUUUUUUACUGGGUAGUUUGAGAGCAUCGACCACCUCAAACUUGCUGUCCAAAAAUUAGUAUCUCUAUUGGGACAUGAUAUUGCAAAAGAAACAAUGCAUUGAUACUUUCCCUAUUCCUUUUAUGUUUGCUUGCUAUUUACAUAUUUAACCGUCCAAAGUAGGGCCGCCAUUGUAUUAUUACCAUACUUAAAUUGUUGGCUGAUUGUAAUUCUGAGAACUGUAUUAUUUGCAUUGCUAACAUAUCAUGGUAUAUAUUUCGGAUCCUACGCUACUUAUUUAGAUCACAAACUAAUUUGUCAUGUUAAUGUUUUAUGCCGAUAUAUGUGCCAGCUUACAUCCAUAUUUGUUUUGCCUUAUGCACAAACUACUGGAUACUUUACAUCAAGCUUGACCAAGCAUGUACCUUAUUGCUUUAGACAUUAGUUACCUUUCAUGCUGUUACUAUACCUGGAGAGCUCUCCAUUGGUUUCUUCAAAGGUGACAUGCCCUGAUUGAUUUAUUACUCUCUAGUGUGUGUAAAGGUUUUUCCUUUUAUGAGCAUUUGGUGCUUUAAUCCAACAAGGCAAUAAGUUCUUUUGCAGGGACAAAUGGCAGGAAAUAACAAGUCCACAAGUUGAUCUAAGAUGUUCCAUGAUCGCUUUUGUUCAUAACAUGGUUGACACCUUUUGUUCAUACAGAACUUGAUGUUGGCUUGGUGAUCAAAGACUUGGUCUCUUCCAUAAUAUUUAGUAGUAGUCAAGUGAUCAAACAAUUGGUCUGUUAGGAUCUUAGCCAUCACAUUUUGUAACAACUUAUCUUGUAUGUUGAGCGAAGAAAAUAAAUGAAUCUUUAUGUAUGUUGAAUGAAUGUACGCAUGGAUGACAUUUUGUGAUGAAUAGAAGAGUCAAUUGUUUGUAUAUAUGCAUUGUAUACUGAACAUGUAUUAAAUAUUAUGAAUGUGAUUUAAUGUUAAAAUAUGGUGUAUUUGCAU